UGGGGAAUAUUGGACAAUGGGGGGAACCCUGAUCCAGCCAUGCCGCGUGUGUGAAGAAGGCCUUAUGGUUGUAAAGCACUUUAAGCGAGGAGGAGGGUACUGGUAUUAAUACUACCAGCUACUGGACGUUACUCGCAGAAUAAGCACCGGCUAACUCUGUGCCAGCAGCCGCGGUAAUACAGAGGGUGCGAGCGUUAAUCGGAUUUACUGGGCGUAAAGCGUGCGUAGGCGGCUAAUUGAGUCGGAUGUGAAAUCCCCGGGCUUAACUUGGGAAUUGCAUUCGAUACUGGUUAGCUAGAGUGUGGGAGAGGAUGGUAGAAUUCCAGGUGUAGCGGUGAAAUGCGUAGAGAUCUGGAGGAAUACCGAUGGCGAAGGCAGCCAUCUGGCCUAACACUGACGCUGAGGUACGAAAGCAUGGGGAGCAAACAGG
rnacentral:rRNA from 1 species